ensembl:snRNA U6 U6 spliceosomal RNA
GUGCUUACUUCAGCAGCGCAUAUACUAAAAUUGGAACAAUACAGAGAAUAUUAGCGUGGCUCCUUCGUAAGGAUGACACACAAAUAUUAUGUUUAUGAAAUUUAA